rnacentral:rRNA from 1 species
GACGAACGCUGGCGGCGUGCUUAACACAUGCAAGUCGAACGAGAAGAGAUGAGAAGCUUGCUUCUUAUUGAUUCGAGUGGCAAACGGGUGAGUAACGCGUAAGCAACCUGCCCUUCAGAUGGGGGACAACAGCUGGAAACGGCUGCUAAUACCGAAUACGUUCUUUUUGUCGCAUGGCAGAGGGAAGAAAGGGAGGCUCUUCGGAGCUUUCGCUGAAGGAGGGGCUUGCGUCUGAUUAGCUAGUUGGAGGGGUAACGGCCCACCAAGGCGACGAUCAGUAGCCGGUCUGAGAGGAUGAACGGCCACAUUGGGACUGAGACACGGCCCAG